GUUUGAUCAUGGCUCAGAACGUACGCUGGCGGCACGCCUAACACAUGCAAGUCGAACGAAGUAGCAAUACUUAGUGGCAGACGGGUGAGUAACAUGUGGGUAUCUACCCUUUGGCCUGGAAUAACACGAGGAAACUUGUGCUAAUACCGGAUAAGUCUUUACGGAGAAAGCUUUAUGCACCAUUGGAUGAGCCCGCACUUGAUUAGUUUGUUGGUAGGGUAAUGGCCUACCAAGACUAUGAUCAAUAGCUGAUUUGAGAGGAUGAUCAGCCACAUUGGGACUGAGACACGGCCCAAACUCCUACGGGAGGCAGCAGUGGGGAAUCUUGCACAAUGGAGGAAACUCUGAUGCAGCGAUGCCGCGUGAGUGAAGAAGGCCUUUGGGUUGUAAAGCUCUUUCGUCGGGGAAGAAAAUGACUGUACCCGAAUAAGAAGGUCCGGCUAACUUCGUGCCAGCAGCCGCGGUAAUACGAAGGGACCUAGCGUAGUUCGGAAUUACUGGGCUUAAAGAGUUCGUAGGUGGUUGAAAAAGUUGGUGGUGAAAUCCCAGAGCUUAACUCUGGAACUGCCAUCAAAACUUUUCAGCUAGAGUAUGAUAGAGGAAAGCAGAAUUUCUAGUGUAGAGGUGAAAUUCGUAGAUAUUAGAAAGAAUACCAAUUGCGAAGGCAGCUUUCUGGAUCAUUACUGACACUGAGGAACGAAAGCAUGGGUAGCGAAGAGGAUUAGAUACCCUCGUAGUCCAUGCCGUAAACGAUGUGUGUUAGACGUUGGAAAUUUAUUUUCAGUGUCGCAGGGAAACCGAUAAACACACCGCCUGGGGAGUACGACCGCAAGGUUAAAACUCAAAUGAAUUGACGGGGACCCG
rnacentral:rRNA from 1 species